rnacentral:rRNA from 1 species
GAUGAACGCUGGCGGCGUGCCUAAUACAUGCAAGUCGAGCGAACAGACGAGGAGCUUGCUCCUCUGACGUUAGCGGCGGACGGGUGAGUAAUACGUGGAUAACCUACCUAUAAGACUGGGAUAACUUCGGGAAACCGGAGCUAAUACCGGAUAAUAUAUUGAACCGCAUGGUUCAAUAGUGAAAGACGGUUUUGCUGUCACUUAUAGAUGGAUCCGCGCCGCAUUAGCUAGUUGGUAAGGUAACAGCUUACCAAGGCAACGAUACGUAGCCGACCUGAGAGGGUGAUCGGCCACACUGGAACUGAGACACGGUCCAGACUCCUACGGGAGGCAGCAGUAGGGAAUCUUCCGCAAUGGGCGAAAGCCUGACGGAGCAACGCCGCGUGAGUGAUGAAGGUCUUCGGAUCGUAAAACUCUGUUAUUAGGGAAGAACAAAUGUGUAAGUAACUAUGCACGUCUUGACGGUACCUAAUCAGAAAGCCACGGCUAACUACGUG